rnacentral:tRNA from 1 species
GGGGCCAUAGCUCAGCUGGGAGAGCGCAACGCUGGCAGCGUGAGGUCGACGGUUCGAUCCCGUCUGGCUCCA